UGCAAUGUCGCGGCGGCGUGACGCUCAGCUGACGGGCCGCCCGCCGCGCCGUCGUCGACGCCGCGCCGAUCUGCCCCGCGUUCAUUGCCUCCGCGGCAGCUGAUGCGAGCGCACGUUUCGUAUGUCAUCAUCACACAACCAUUUCGACGAUGUUAUGCGACGAGCACGUAAACGAUGGAUUUGGAUUAAACCUAAUGUGUAAAUCCAACGCGACGGGCGGCCAUUUUCUUUUGUACACGUAAGCGUGCAUGGAUCUGGUACAAGAAUCUUAUAUGACGUAGCCCAAUGACACAUAACAGCGCAACUAGUGCUAUCGAUAAUAUGUAAUAUUAUGUCUGAUGUUAGUAUAUUACAAAAGGAAACGUACGUAUAGUCAAUUUUUACGUGCCAAAUAAAGGUAAACAAUCUUUGAUAAAUAAGUACUUCUUUUUAUUUGCAAAACAUUUUAAAAUUAUUUUAUAAACACGAGAAUUACAAUGUCAUAUCAUAUUUCAUUAUUUUUUCUACAAACCAUACUUUGUUUUAAAUAUUUAUUUAUUUUUAAGAUUAUUAUAUAUUACUAUUCUUGACCAAAGUUUCCUUAAAGCGAAUUUAAGAGUUUAUCAGUCGCCCGCUUAAAUUUGUUUAAAAAUAUUUUUUAUCGUUAAUAUUAUUACUUACUACAUAAUCAACUUUUAGUAUGACUGAAAUGAACAAUAACGUUGACAUGUUUCUAGGCUCUUGUUUCUUAAAGAGAAAUAGAUAUAUAUUUAUAAAAUCGUAUUUUUUCUCAAGUAAUACACACACACGUCAUUAAAUUGUGUGAACCUUGGGAAUGAAGGGAAUAUUAUACUUCUUAAAAACAUAUUAUACACAGAAAACAUUUGUUGUUCUUGUCCUAUUGAUAUUAAGGACAAGUCAAUUUUUAGAGAAGGGGAAAUUUUGGUGCAACGAAUAAAUCUUUUGAACCGAUUUGUAUGAAAUUUACAUAGAAAUAAAUUAGAACAAAGGCUAUGUUUCAUAAGAGAAUUAGUUUCGGGUGUUUGUUAUUAACCAGGACGGGUGAUGGGUUGGGUAAGUACGUUUUUCACAAGAAGCAAAUCCCGUUUGAUCUCCGAAAUAUUUGCUAGGAAUAACUUAUACAUCCAUAUUCCUGCAUGUGCAGGUUUUCUCAUGUUUUCUCACGGUAACCGAUGACAGGACUCGAACUAUUUAGAAAAGUCAUCAUAGUCGAGGUGGGAUUUAAAACUGCCUCCCUGGCUCAUAAAGAAUUUUAAUUGAGCACCUUAAAAAUAUUUAUUGUGAUUAAAUAAGAUCUAACCUUGGCGCCUAAGAAUCGCGCUUCCAGCAGCUCCUGUUUGCGAGGAUCCAGAGCCGCUUGGAAGUGCUCCAUCUUGACGCCAGGACCUGCCAACAUAAAAAACAUCUAAGUAUAUUACUAACAUCCUAUUUUAAAAUUAUCUUCUUCUUUCUCCUAGCUUUAGUCCCGGUUUUAUCUUUAUCACACUGGAGACGAACCAGGAAUAUGCCUUUGACCAUGGAUCCUGUAUUGUGUGAGUCGGUUUCUUACACGAAGCGACUCCAAUCUAUUCUUCGUAAUCUUUGCAGGUAAACCUAACACGUAUUGAAUUGAUCAUGGUUACACAUCCAGUUAAUUCACGAUCACGAUGUUUUCCUUCACCGUAAGAACAUCAGUUAGUAUUUAAACUAUGUACAUAACUUUGAAAAAGUUUUUUCAUCCCAAUUUUAAUGAUAAAUAAGAAGAUGAAGAACAUUCAAAAUAUUUAGUUAAUUUAUAAAGAAAGUUAAGCAUUAUUUAUUUAUUGGUACAUUUGAUAUGAUAUGAUAUGAUAUCUGCUUCGGAUCUCUGGCAAAAGAAUCUACAGACUUGACCUAAUCUGCAUCUACCGUACCAAGUGUUUUUUACACAACAUUUGUAUUUGAGUUUGUAACGAAUAAAACCGGGGUUUUGAGUGAACAAAAUUUUCCACAGGGAUAGGAAAGACCUUCAGGAUUAACAUAGGCUCCGAACAAAAGCUAGUCAGUAAUAUUGUAAUUGUAAACAAAUUUAGUAUUGAUACCUCACUAUCGAGUCGUCCCAUAGAAGAUGAAAAACGCAUUGUCUCUCUCUCUCAACGUUACUGACUGGGGAUGCAACUGGGGACCGAUAUGAACUUCUAAUAGGUACUUUAUUAAGAUGGAAAAAUACAUUUUCAAGCAAAAUUUAAUAGACAGUUUUAGGCAAGCUAUGUUUUUAGAGUACUUACACCAAGAGAUGAACAAAAUUUCCAUGACAAAUUUUUAUUCAAAAGGUUCGAAAAGCCUUUAAUUUAGCAACAAGGGUCGUGGUUGGCUGGGGCGGGGUUUUAGCGCAGUAUCUGGAGCAGACAGUCGAGUUGCGAGAACUUAGGUACUUAUUUAUAUAGGUACGUAUGUAUGUUCAAUGUACAUAUCGAUCGCCUCCCCGAGCCACUCGCCACUAUGAUCUCACCUCCAUCCUUUGCGAGUUGCGACCCGUUCCCCUCGCUCCCCUUACCUAUCACAUCACCCUUGAUGCCUGUUACCACGUGACAAAUGAAGAAAGUCUUUAUUUUGUACGAGUGCAUAAGGAAAAUAAAAUAAAAAGACACGAAAAUAAGCAUAAUUUUCAGAGCCCUACCAGGUACUAAAUGUAUCAUGUUUUUAAUAUUAUUAUUUAUUAUUUUGUAGAGUAUUAUUAUUUUGUUCAACAUGCUAACAAUUUCACUAACAUGCAAUUAAAUAAAAACAAACUAAAUAUUUAUGUUUGACCCCAGCCUAACUAAAUUAUUAUACUAAAAAGUUGUAGUUUGGUAUAAAUAAUUAGAAUAUAACACUUUUUUCGCGGCGUCGACGCAAUGAACUUCGUCAAAUAUAAGUCCCUAAAACGUUACGAAUGUACACAAACUAUUGAUUUAUUUAUGUCGCUGCCUGCCACACUACUGUUCAAAAAUGAAAGCAAAUCUAGAUAAAUAUUUAUUUAACUAGGUACUAGGAAAAGACAUUUUGCACAAAUAUGUGUACUGAUUUUAUAGGGAUUGGGAUGGGCUGUUGACUCUUAGGCUCUUUGCCGGUUUCGAUUAUGUGUUGUAUGUUUAAAGGGUUAAUCAAAUGAAAACAAACAUUAAUAUAGGGAGUUUGCUUUUUUAUUAUUUCUUCACCAUAUUACAACGAUGAUGGUGGUUGGUUAUUUCAGUUUUAUAGAUCGUAUCAUUGUACCAAAGAAGCAUAAAUCUAACCCAAACAAACCAUGUUCACCUUAGAACCUGGAUCGAAUUUAUUAUAUCGAACAUACCGUCCACCUUGACAUUUAAAUAACCCUCCUCU